UCUGUAUUUUAGAUUUAAAAAAAUUUUGAAAUCUACAUGCACUAGUAUCUAUAGAAAAUCCAACAAUGAUAUUGAUGAGGUAUUUAUAAAUGAUCUCCUCUCUGUCUUUCUGUGCGCAUGCGUGUGUUUGGUGCAAUGGCUCUGUCACAAAUAGGCAUCUUUUCCACGUUAAUAUAUGAUUGCUUUUCUUUAAAAAUUGCUACUGGAGUUUUGUGGCUGCUAUUAGUUGUUCAAACUUGUACUCAAGCCAUUAGCUUCGACGUAUGGUGAUCAUCGUAAGAUCAGUCUCCAUCAACAGUGGAUUCCACAAAAAGAGAAAUAAAAUCAAAUGC
rnacentral:lncRNA from 1 species